AGGAGGCGGGGCCCGGAGGAGGCGGGGUGGGCCCGGGGGAGGGUCGCGGGGCGUUCCCGCCGUACCCGAGCCGGUGGCCAUGACUGGGCUUCGGCGUCCGCGGCGGGUGUGCUGGUUGGUGCUGGAUGAGAGGAGCUGUACGCGACUGGGCGCGCGGGCUUCGCGGGGCCUGCCCGAGAUACCCUCCUGCACACGUUACGCGCCACAGCCGCUGGGACAUCUUGGCCUAUCUGGUUGACACCUGGGACCUGGACAUCGAGGCCGUCAACCAGGACUACAAGCGGGCUCUCUCUGCACGAGGCUGCCUCCAUGGGACAUCCGGACUGCGUGCUGUACCUGCUGGCCCGGGGGGGCCGCCGGAAACAACCUGACCAAGCCCACCUGUCAAUGACUGCAGGAAAGAAAUUAACACAUUCCCUUCAGAGGCUGAUGUGAACCAGGAAAGAGGCCUUGCUUCCGGCUCUUCAAACCCCAGUUCCUGGUGUGAACCAGCUUGGCCGAUGCUCCUGCUUGGGGUGGGGGGCUGUGUGCAGAGAUGCUGCACUGGACACCUUAAUGCAAGAUGGCAAUGAGCCCUGUGAGCCCCAUUACCUGGAGCAGCUGUGCCUGUCUCUGCUCCCCAGAACCCCGCCAACUCUACCUAAUCCCCCGCUGAUGAGAGCCCUAUGGAGCAGCCCCACCCAUGGCCUAUUGGAGAGCGUGGACUGUACAGUGGGUGCUCCACUUCUCAUUUCCUUUGCUUCUCAACACAACUCACUCCAUUGGCUGAGAAACAUUGGGCAGAAGGACCCUUUUGGGGUGGGUACCAGCUUUACUUACAUAUCAAAGGCCAGAGUAAGGAGGAGAUCCUUCCCAGGAGAGGAGAAAGCCCUUCUCAAGCAGCAGAGACAAAGUUUCCUACCGUCCUGCACCUGCUGGUGUGGAACAACUGACCUGCUCUCAACACACGGCCCCAGGUGCGGUCCUGAGCGAGGGGGCAACACCUGUAUGUUUACCGUGAGAUAUUUAAUAAGGACUAUGUCUCUGAUUGCAAUAACCUGUCCGUGCCUUCAGGAUAAAAGGAACGAAUACUGAGAGCCCAGCCAAAAGCAAGAGUGUCUCAAAGAGGUGAGUGACAGUGAACGCCAAGAGGAAGGAGAAAUUCAGACAAACAAGGACUGGAAAGGUAUGGCUUUGAUUCAGUGACGCGGAAAUCAUCAGUGACUUGGGAGCAGUUUUGAGGGAAAGAGAGGGAAGACAGUCUAGAGUUGGUAGAGAUACAGGCAAACCUUUUAAGAAGUUUGUUCUGGGACCUAAGAUUGUCUGGUACAAGUGAGAGGGGAAGACCAGGGUGAGAAAUUUAUAGAAAGGAGAUUUGAAAUCAUCAGAAGAUACAAAUUAAAUAAAAGUAGCAGGAUCACUCGGAGAAGGCAAUGGCAACCUACUCCAGUACUCUUGCCUGGAAAAUCUCAUGGAUGGAGGUGCCUGGUAGGCGUCAGUCCAUGGGGUCGCU